AGAUCAGCCCUGAGCUAACAUGCAUUGACAUCUUUGUUUAUCAUAUUUAUUGAUCAUGUUUAUUGCUAUAAACUUCCCUCUUAGUACUGCUUUUGCUGCAUUCCAUGAGUUUUGGUAUGUUGUGUUUUUGUUGCCUUUACACAUUUUUCUAUUCUGUUAUCUUUUUCUUAUUGAUCUGUAGUAGCUCUUGUGCAUAGGCCCUUGUCUUUAUGUUUCAGAUAUUUUUCACAGUUGUUACUCUUCAACUUGAUUUGCAGUUCUUUCAUUAGGUAGGAAUUUAAAAUUUUGGUGUAGCUAAAUCUAUUGAUUUUUCCCUUUAUGGUCUCUGUCAUACUUAAAAAGUCCCUCCCCUCUCCAGGAUUAUAAAAAAAAUAUAUUGUUGUUAUUAUUUUAUGGUUGUUUUUUAUAUGUAGAUCUUUACUCCAUCUGCAGUUAAUGAGAAGGAUGUGAAGUAGGGAUUGAACGUUUUGAAAAAGCAAUGUUAUUUUUAAUGGCUGCACAGUGUUCUGUCACAUGGAUAGCACCCUCAUGUGUUGCCUGUUCCUUUAAUGUCAAGACAUUUAGGCUAUGUCUAAUUUUUUGCUAUUAUAAUAGAAUUGUACUGUAUUUCUGUUUAUUUCCUUAGGGUAGAUUCAUAGAACAGAAUUAUGAGAUCAGGAGGAGAUGAAGAAAGUGAGGCAGUUACAAGCAGGGACCUGAAGGUGCACUGCCUGCAUUUGAGUCUCAACUCCACUGUUUGGUUGAUUAGCAGUCUUCUGCAAGUCACUUUCUUGUAUCUUGUUUUGUCAUCUGAAAAACGGGGGUGAUAAUAGUACCCACCUCAGAGCAUCGUGUUGAGGUUUAAAUGUUUGAUACACAUAAAACACUGGAACAGGGCCUGGCACGUAGUAAGUACUCAAUUAUUAUUAGUUGUUGCUGCUGCUGCUGUUUUUAUUGUGAUGGGCAUUUUAAGGCAGGUAACUUUCUGGAAAGGUCAUGCCAUUUUUAUAUUUCCAGUAUGGGAACAUAGGAGAUCCCAUUGUCCCAACUCUUGUUACCAUUGAAUAUUAUCAUUUUUUAAAGCUUUGCUAAUUUUACAUAUGAAUAAUAGGCUCCUUUUUUUUUUUUGGAUGCACACUCUUCUUAUCCUCUUGAUCCUAAAAAUUAAACUGCUGUCUUUAGGAAAUGGUUUAUAUUGCCUUUUAGAUCCUUUUUAUGGACUUGUAUUUUAGAACUUGAAGUCCACCUUCUUUUAAGUAUGUGAUUUUUUUUUCCCCCCAAAUUCAUCAGUUAGCCUGAGGCAGUUCUUCUAAGUUUAUUCCUGUGGCUUAUUCUUCAGGUCCUGACAUUAAUUUGAGUUCCUACCAUCUGCCAGGCCCCGUGCCGGGUGCACAGGCCUCACCAAGGAGUAAGUUGCUGUUCCUGAAUGAGGGAGACUCACAGCCUGGGAGAGGUGGCAGGCAGCACAGGGGCAGCUGGCAUCAGAGUUGGAACGUGUAUGCCAUAGGACCACCCCCUGGGAUGGGGAUGUGGGGAUGGGAGAAACCCUAGGAGAAGCUCUCAAACUUGUAAAUGGGGCUGACUUUUAAACAAAAGUACAAGUUUGUUCUGCCUGAGGGAAGCUGGUCUGUGGAAUCUCAAACUUGAAAAUGAAAGAGGGAUUUUUUUUUUUUUUUUUUACGUUAUAAAAUAAUUCAUCAUAGCAUUUUUUGAAAACAUAUUCUUCCUAUACAUUUAAAAUAUGUGGUUUGAAAAAAAGAAGUUUUAUGAAACUUUCUGAAGCACUGACUUGGGGCAGGGUUCCUAACCUCUUCAGGUCUCGGUUUCCCCUUCUGUCAGAUGAAGGUCAGAUGAGAUGUUCUCCACUCUGCUCUCCAGCUCUGACUGUCGGAGCUCUGUGGUGUGCAUGGAUGGCAGCAACCGUUAUGGAAGGUCAGGUGGUAGGUGGCGCUCGGGGCAGAAGAAGCAGUGCUGCCAACUCGGAUUCUGCAGAGAACAGGAGCUGGGACUUUCCUCUGUGGCUCUCAGACUUGGACUUGGCUGGGCCAGUUCACUCUUUGGCGUAGAGGUGUCCUCAUCACCAACAUUGCAUUUUAGUUUUUCUCCCUCCUUUUGUAGGAACACACCAUUUCUGGGCAGUCUUCUUGAUUGUUGCAUGCACUGAUUGUGGGCCUAGAUGGAAAGUGCAUAUCCAGUUGAUUCUGACUUGGCUGCUUCUCAAGAUAGUUGGUCCUCCCUGGUGCUGCUGCUCCCCCGGCCCCCACCUAGACUCGCAGUGUGGGCGGCUGCACAGUGGCCAGCCCGCAGCGCUGGCUUCCCUCUCAAGCCGCCAAUACUGUUUACAAAAGUAAUAUAUUGACAUUGUAAAUCAUUACUGAGGGGCAUUAAAAGUAUAUUUUAUUAAA